AAAGGACAGAUUUUAUUUACUAAUUACCAAAACCCCAGACAAAUACUUACAGUGAAAUCACCAAAAAACCUACACAAAAUCAAUGAACAUAUUUUAUUUACCAAUUACCAAAACCCCAGACAAAUACUUACAGUAAAAUCACCAAAAAACUUACACAAAAUUAAUUCGUGCAAAAAAUAAAUAACUACCUGAACCAAUUCAUACAAGUUUCCAACUACCUAAACAAGAACAUACAAUCACCAGACUAUAACCCAGAAAAACUUAUUGGAUGGCAAACCAAACAUUUGAAGGGAUAUAACAAAUUAGUAGCAUUAAACAAGACAGACCCAAAACUCAUACAGAUCAUGUAUAAUUAUGGACUAUUGCAUGCGGUAUAUAUGCAAAAUGGAGAUAAUCUACAAUAUAUCCCAGAACUAUAUCAAGUAGUAAAGAAAUACUUGGGAAUUAUCAAAGCAGAUUUA
rnacentral:lncRNA from 1 species